UAUAUUGCUAGGUGCUUAAAACAC
rnacentral:siRNA from 1 species